UUGUCCUGGAAUCUGUCAAAUCGGAUGGCUGUCAAAUUUCGUCGAAAUCUUUGCCCUUCGACGGGCUCAAUCGGAUUAUUUUUGGUCGCAAGUUUUAUUCGAUUUUUCGAAUGCUUCGAAGAAUCCUUCAGAUUUCUUCCAGUGUCCCGAGACUCCCAGCAACGGCGCUGACCGACGAAAACAAUUUUUAGCUCGUCUCGAGCUCAAAUUCAGCUGGAAUAUACGUAGUUUGGAGAGCAUUCGAGACUCGAAUUGAAAUGAAACGUAAUGGAGCAAUCCGGUGGAUAUUUUGGGGCCGCCAAUGAACGGGGGAUCGGAAGCAUUUAUGAUUGAGCACAAUUUCGGACUGCGGAAAAACUCGGCGAAGAAUUUUUAUGGACCGUCCUGAAUUUUCAGUGCGACGAACAAAAGUUAAACUAUUUCGCGGUCCGUAUUACCCCGGACUUCCCAUAUAUCCCCGAUGUGUUUCUCUCUAACGAGAACACGCGAUCCUCAGGGAGACUCGUACUUCGAUGCGUACACGAGGAUUUCCAUGUUUCAUCAAAAGCCUCAAGCAUUUGUUGCGAUUUUUCUCGGAGCCGGAACACUCGACACCAAAAAUCCAUUUUUCUUGUUCAAAAGUACAAAAACUUUGAAAAUAACCAUUUUUUAAGAGCUCCAAAUUGGAAGAAUCAAACAAAUUGAUUCCCUUCGAAAAAUCAGCCUUAGAAAUGAAUUUUUCUCAUUCAGCAGUCCAAAACCGCAAAAAAAAAAAAAAUCUUCCAAAAU